ACGGAAGGCAGCAGUGGGGAAUAUUGCACAAUGGGGGCAACCCUGAUGCAGCGACGCCGCGUGGGGGAUGAAGUAUUUCGGAACGUAAAGCCCUAUCAGCAGGGACGAUAAUGACGGUACCUGACUAAGAAGCUCCGGCUAAAUACGUGCCAGCAGCCGCGGUAAUACGUAUGGAGCAAGCGUUAUCCGGAUUUACUGGGUGUAAAGGGAGCGCAGGCGGUUUUGUAAGUUGGGUGUGAAAGCCCGGGGCUCAACCCCGGAACUGCACCCAAAACUGCAGGACUAGAGUGUCGGAGGGGCAAGCGGAAUUCCUAGUGGAGCGGUGAAAUGCGUAGAUAUGAGGAGGAACACCGGUGGCGAAGGCGGCUUGCUGGACGACAACUGACGCUGAUGCUCGAAAGCGUGGGGAGCAAACAGGAUUAGAUACCCUGGUA
rnacentral:rRNA from 1 species